GACGAACGCUGGCGGCGUGCCUAAUACAUGCAAGUCGAGCGCAGGAAGUCGACGGAACCCUUCGGGGGGAAGUCGACGGAAUGAGCGGCGGACGGGUGAGUAACACGUAAAGAACCUGCCCUCAGGUCUGGGAUAACCACGAGAAAUCGGGGCUAAUACCGGAUGGGUCAUCGGACCGCAUGGUCUGAGGAUGAAAGGCGCUUCGGCGUCGCCUGGGGAUGGCUUUGCGGUGCAUUAGCUAGUUGGUGGGGUAAUGGCCCACCAAGGCGACGAUGGAUAGCGGACCUGAGAGGGUGAUCGGCCACACUGGGACUGAGACACGGCCCAGACUCCUACGGGAGGCAGCAGUAGGGAAUCUUCCACAAUGGACGAAAGUCUGAUGGAGCAACGCCGCGUGAACGAUGAAGGCCUUCGGGUCGUAAAGUUCUGUUGUAAGGGAAGAACAAGUGCCGCAGGCAAUGGCGGCACCUUGACGGUACCUUGCGAGAAAGCCACGGCUAACUACGUGCCAGCAGCCGCAGUAAAAC
rnacentral:rRNA from 1 species